UACGUAGGGUGCGAGCGUUAAUCGGAUUUACUGGGCGUAAAGCGUGCGCAGGCGGCCCGUUAAGACAGGUGUGAAAUCCCUGGGCUCAACCUGGGAAUGGCAUUUUGAACUGGCAGGCUCGAGUUCUGAAGAGGGUGGUAGAAUUUCCAGUGUAGCGGUGAAAUGCGUAGAGAUCAGGAGGAACACCGAUGGCGAAGGCAGCCCCCUGGGCCUGUACUGACGCUCAUGCACGAAAGCGUGGGGAGCAAACAGG
rnacentral:rRNA from 1 species